rnacentral:tRNA from 1 species
UGGCUCAGUGGUUAAGAGCACUGACUGCUCUUCCAGAGGUUCUGGGUUCAAUUCCCAG